CACGUAGGGUGCGAGCGUUGUCCGGAAUUAUUGGGCGUAAAGAGCUCGUAGGCGGUCUGUUACGUCUGCUGUGAAAACCCAGGGCUUAACCCUGGGCUUGCAGUGGGUACGGGCAGACUAGAGUGCGGUAGGGGAGACUGGAAUUCCUGGUGUAGCGGUGAAAUGCGCAGAUAUCAGGAGGAACACCGGUGGCGAAGGCGGGUCUCUGGGCCGUAACUGACGCUGAGGAGCGAAAGCAUGGGGAGCGAACAGG
rnacentral:rRNA from 1 species